rnacentral:lncRNA from 1 species
AAAUAAGUUUUGUAAAACCUUUGAAUAGUUUAAUAAAUAAGAAUUUAUGACAUGAUGUCAGUUUAUAGAUCGGUUCAAAAGACUGUUUGACAAGACAAUUUAAGUGUGAGAAAACCUUUGUUUGAAGNCCAGUUUAUAAAUCGGUUCGAAAGACCGUUUGACAAGACAAUUUAAGUGUGAGAAAACCUUUGUUUGAAGCACAACUAUAAAAGAUUCAAAAAGGGAACCUACAGUUUGUAAGACCGUUUCUAAAAGUGUUUUAACAUGUAAAAACGGUUGUGAAAACUAUUUGAAAUACCUAUGAAAAUGUUUGUUUCUUCUUGUAUAUGAAUGUAUCUUGUUGGGUUGAAGAUUUGCUCAUGUGUUGCGUCGUUGGGCUCGAAUGUUUAUUUAUUUUAUUUGUAUUCCGGUUUGGGCCUGUCCAACCGAGAGCCCAUUUUGUUUAAUAUAUAAGUAUAUGCUUGCAUGCAUAUUAGGUUAACGAUCAUCAUAGAGAAAAACGAUUAUUCUAGAGCAUAACGAUAGCAUUACAGAUUUCUUUGAUCGUUCUUGUAACCUACCAAUCCUCUACAGUUGAUGUUCUUAAUCGAGCUCUUCUGAGGAUUUUGUUUAAUCAUUCGACACGUUUGAUUCACUCUUGUCCCGUUCUUA